ACUUCCGGUGGCUAACAUGCUAACUUUUCCUUCACGUUACCGUAAGAUGCAGCCGGAGUUCAGCAGCAGAGCCUGCAUGUGAGGAUAAACGUGUUUAAGUGGACUCCUCAGUUUCACCUCCUGUUAGCUAAGAAUGCUAAAGGAAGUUAGCUUGUUAGCAGGAAGUAGCCGGAGCCGGAGCUCGGCCUCACAGUCGGAGCAGCUUCCAUAGAGACCAAACUGUAUUUUUCACGGAGCCCAAAUGUCCAAAUGUCCAGAUAGAGCUGUCUGAAUAGACUCUGUGCUGUUCCCUUUAUCUGAACAUGUUUAACAUCUGAAUUAUCUCCCGGUGUCCUACGAAGCUAAUGCAGUUAGCUUAGCUUGCUAGCUGGAAACAGUCUGGAGGAAAAGCUGCUGUGAAUCAGUAAAAAUGUCUAAAGUGGAGAACGAGGAGGAACUUUGUGGACAACGCAAACUACUGGACGCUGUUUUCAAGCCUGAAGCAGGGAUCCCUCCAACCUGCACAUUAAUUCAAAGCGAGAACUGGACAUGAUCAGAUGUCCAGCUGCUGUUGGUAAGGACAGAAGAGGUUCCCCCUGAGCAGCAGGAGUGGAGUCCCAGUCUGGACCAGGAGGACCCACCAGAGCCCCCACACAUUAAAGAGGAACAUGAGGAUCUCUGGACCAGUCAGGAGGGAGAACAGCUUCAAGGACUGGAGGAGGCUGAUAUCACCAAGUUCACAUUCACUCCAGUUCUUGUGAAGAGUGAAGAAGAUGAUGAAGAGAAACCUCAGUCCUCACAGCUUCAUCAAAGACUCACUGAACUGGAGAAAACAGAAUCUGAUGGAGAGGACUGUGGAGGACCAGAACCAGCCAGGAACUCUGAAGUAGAUGGACAUCUACAACAGGCCACUGACAAGACUUCACACUCUGAACCUGAGACUGAUGACAGUUGUGAAUGGGAGGAGACCAGGGAACCUGGUCAGGUGAAGUCAUGUUCAGACCCUCUGCAAAAUAACGGUGGAUGUACCACUGGUGAGAAAUCAUUAGCU